rnacentral:rRNA from 1 species
UGGGGAAUUUUGGACAAUGGGCGCAAGCCUGAUCCAGCCAUGCCGCGUGCGGGAAGAAGGCCUUCGGGUUGUAAACCGCUUUUGUCAGGGAAGAAAUCUUCUGAGUUAAUACCUCGGGAGGAUGACGGUACCUGAAGAAUAAGCACCGGCUAACUACGUGCCAGCAGCCGCGGUAAUACGUAGGGUGCAAGCGUUAAUCGGAAUUACUGGGCGUAAAGCGUGCGCAGGCGGUUUUGUAAGACAGAGGUGAAAUCCCCGGGCUCAACCUGGGAACUGCCUUUGUGACUGCAAGGCUUGAGUGCGGCAGAGGGGGGAUGGAAUUCCGCGUGUAGCAGUGAAAUGCGUAGAUAUGCGGAGGAACACCGAUGGCGAAGGCAAUCCCCUGGGCCUGCACUGACGCUCAUGCACGAAAGCGUGGGGAGCAAACAGGAUUAGAUACCCUGGUAGUCACGCCCUAAACGAUGUCAACUGGUUGUUGGGAAGGUUCCUUCUCAGUAACGUAGCUAACGC